rnacentral:lncRNA from 1 species
UUAUAAAAUUUAUUUUUUAGUUUAUAUGGGGAACCACAGGUCAUAAAAACUUAUCUUCUCUUUUUCAAUUGCUGUUAGCAUGUGCAUUUUGUUACAGUUUUGUAUAUGUUAAGAGUAACUUUGUCAUGAAAUAAAAUUUCCUUUGUAAUAUUAGUUGUAAACUAAAGAAAUGUCCUGGAAUAUUAUUCCCCCUGGAAGAAAUAUUGCAAUAUUUGUUCCUGACGGAACAAAGGUUUUAGAUUUUUCAUUCCAACAGGAAUAGGUAUUAUGAUAUUGUAUAUAACUCAAUGUCCAGAGGAAACUGAUAGUAGACACAAACAUAAGUUUACUACUCCACACAAGUAAUGUAUAUGUCAUAACAAGCAGGAUUAUAUUCAGGUUGCUGGUAUAUAUAUUUUUCAUAUAGCUAAUACAAUUCUUCAAUUCUGUCUCCUUUGUUUUAAGAUUAAAACUUAUAUAAAUUAGAAUUUAUCUGUUGAAAUCAUUUUAAACAACAGUUUGAAUUGUUACAAGAAAUUUAUAUUUUCUUCAUAAUCUAUUAAAAUGUACUAGAGGACCAAAGAUGUGAUAAAGCUAUAAAUAAAAUCCAUAUUUUCAUUGUUCAAUUAGUUUAAUAGUAGCUAGGGUUCUUCUUUGUUUGUUAAAAUAUAUAUAUUUUUUUAAAUAUUGAAAUUUAAAUGUUUUUUGUUGACACAGUUGAGGAAAAUAUGCCAACAUUAUUCAAUUGUGACAUAUUUGUUUACAGGUUAAAGUAAAUAGGUUUGUACAUGCUAAAGUUGUGCAAAGGGGGCCUAUAUUAUUAGCUAUUAGGUUGCCCUUCAAAUAUAGACAAUACAAUUUUCCGUAGGAACACCCUUUGGGGCUAAAACUGUGCCACUUUUACUAUGAAGUUUCGUAAAAAAAUAUAUACUAGAACAGAAAGUUGAUUAGUUAACAAAACAAAAUAUCUAUGAAUAUCUCUCCGAAAGAGGUGUGGCUUGUGAAACAGCUGUAUUUACUAAGUGUGACCUAUAAGCAUAAUUUUGAUAAGUAUUAUUAAGAUGGGAAUCACAGGGUUUGUAUAGACCUUAUCACAUUUUGUUUACAUUACUGGACAAUAUAGACAUUCCCAUAAAAAGAGGUAAUGUCUGAUGUAUGAAAGAAAAAUGAAUUCCAUUGAUUGAUAUGAAAGAUUCCAAAGUAACGAUAAGGUCUAUUGUGCCAUAGUUAGUAAAAUGAGCUAAAAUUUGUGAAUUAAAACAAAUUUCUAGGAAUGACAUGGUUUGACAUUUUUUGUUUUAAGGUUAGUAAAAUAAUCUAACAUUUUCUUAUAAAAUAUUAGGUAUUAUUUUAUUGGGAUUAAAAUAGCUUUGUGUGUUGUUAUGUUGAGUAAUAUGCCAACAUGAUUCAUAUUUAAAGAUUUUUGUUAAAUUUUUUA